CUCUAAUACAAGUUCAGAUUAUAUAUUUUAAGGAAUAUAUACAGUAAAGGUAUUAGUAUUAAAGAGAUUUAUUCCUUCCGUAAAAGGUAAAAAUGUAUCAAUAAAAUAGGUAUUAGUAGAAUAAAAUAGGAUUUGAAU
rnacentral:ncRNA from 1 species